AAAAUUUCUCCAAACGCCAAGUCGGAUGAAAAUUAUCACAGCAGUAGUUGGCUGUUGAAAGGAAAGGGCCAUUUAUUGUUGUUUCGUAUCUUCCGAUCUUCAUCCUGGUGGGAGUUGGAUAUGGGUUCCACCACUUGCAUGGCUAUUUAUGAGCCAGCUCUACUACCACCGCCUAUAACAUAUAGUGAGCUCCAGCUGUAUUUGUUAUAUACUUCAAGCACUUCCAUUAUCUCAUCUCAAUUUCAAUAUGUGCUUUUCUUCUUUAUCUUAAUUCACAUCACAUAACCAACAUACACUCCGCACUUGGGCUUUAGUCCGGUGGUGAACCACUAUUCUUAAAAUUAAGUAAGUUUAUAAAAAUAGUAAUUCGAGUUUUCAUA
rnacentral:lncRNA from 1 species